AACCAAUAGUUAGAAAUGAACCAGAUUUACGGUUGAGCAUUUAACCGCCUAUACCCAUCUUCAACCAUCCUCAAUAAUUGCAUACGAAACGUCAUUGAGAGAGAAAAAGAGAUGAGGGAGAUCACAUCUGAGAUUAGGGUUCUUUACCCCAUUGUCGUCACAUAUAGUGCUCCAGAAAACCAGACUGUUGCUGUCAGAUAGAGAUUAGGGUUGCUAUCACGGAAGCUUGAGGCUCUGUUCCGAAUAGUUGAGUCGAUUUGUCGAAGCAGUAGAUCAGCCAAUUUGAAGGAGUUUCGUUGAAGAUGGUGGUUUCGCUCAGUCCAAAUCACGUAGAUGACAGUCUGCCAAGCGAUCAGUAACAAUUUCUUGGCCACACGAGGUCCUCUAUAAUGCGUGAGGGAGUCAAUUGUCUGGGACCAAGAGUUUGAGGGAGCAAAGGCACAUCUUCGAGCAACAUCCGACCAUAUCGACCAGCUGAAAGGACACUCGAAAAAAAUGUGAUCUCGAGAUUCAGGCAUGGAGGCACAGAGAAGGCAGUGAGGAUCGACUGUUAAUCCCCAAUUCAGCAGGCGAUCCCUUGUCGGGAAACAAUUUAACACAAACAAUCAGGAUAGGAAUUUGUGUUUUGGAAUUCUUCCUGAAAACCAAACAAUGCUAUUCCAGGGGACAAUAGGGAAAGUCGCUCUAACAACAGAACAAAUACUACCUGUGUUAUGGCGGUCCUUGCGGUCGUCAAUCCACCAUUGGUAAGAAUCUUCUUCUUCAUUUAAAGUGAGUGUUGAGAGUUCAAUGUGAAAAUUGACUUGUGCUAGACGAGUACCCCUACGAAUGCCAAUCUGGUAGAGCCUGUCACCUUGAAGAUAAGUCAUCAUCUUACCCAACUUACUUCAGUGGAGAAUCGGUUGCUUGGCUUGCGGACCAGAAAGAACUCAUGUCGCCAGAUAGCACUACUCUUCGAAAUCAGGCUACCCAUACCGAACUAGAUCUAAAGAAGAGUAACCAGAUGAGCUUGACAAUACAAGCUUUAUUCCAUGUAAGUAAGUCUCAAACUCCCAAACCUCCUUCUUUCUUAUCACGGAUGACUGUUUCUCAAGCCACACGAGCUGAGUGAUGACCUCUAUCAUACCUUUCCAUAAAAAUGCACUUGAGAGUGAGUUUAACUGUUUGAUGCACUUUAAACAAGUAAAGAAGAUUAUUCUUGUUAACAGGUAAAAAAACAAACUGUUGUGAGUUGCAUUAUUUGGACAAACUAUUCAUAAUAAGUUGCAUUAUUUACAUUACAUAGAGACAGAUGAAAGUGUACUUGUUGUCUGUUGAUACGAGCCUUUCUGUCUUUAUGAUUUUUAUUUUUUUUCUCACAUACAUUUGAUUGAAUGAAUAGAGAUAGAUGGUGUCAAAAGAAGCGAGAGAGUGAAAGGACGUCAUGUCCCUUCUCAAUGUCUCACCUUUUUUCAUGUUCCUUCUCUGUUUGUAAACAGUUUAUAAUUUAUACAUAUAUAUAAUUAAAAUAUUUCGGUCUUUAUGAAAAAAAAAAUAUAUAUUUCGAUCUUUUGAUUUAACUUGACAUCUUUUUUUUUUUCAUAUCAACAAUGUAUUUAGUGAAUUGCUUGUACUCUUCAAAUCUAUCUUAUAUAUAUA